CCCUUAGAUGUCCUGGGCCGCACGCGUGCUACACUGACGCCUACAGCGAGUACUUCCCAGCCCCGAGAGGCGGCUGGUAAUCAGCAAUAGGCGUCGUGAUGGGGAUAGAUCUUUGGAAUUCUGGAUCUUGAACGAGGAAUGUCUAGUAAGCGCAGGUCAUUAGCCUGCGCUGAUUACGUCCCUGCCCUUUGUACACACCGCCCGUCGCUCCUACCGAUUUCGAGUGGUCCGGUGAAUCUUUCGGACUGCGCGCAGCUUCGUGCCGUGUCGCGGAAAGUCAGGUAAACCUAAUCACUUAGAGGAAGGACAAGUCGUAACA
rnacentral:rRNA from 1 species